UAUGGCCAUAUCAUAUUGAAACACAGGUUUCUGGAUGAUCAUUGAAGUUAAGCAACACUGAUUCUGGUCAGUACCUAGAUGGGUGACCACUUGGGAAUACCAGGUGCUGUAA